UAGGGAAUCUUCCACAAUGGACGCAAGUCUGAUGGAGCAACGCCGCGUGAGUGAAGAAGGCUUUCGGGUCGUAAAACUCUGUUAUUGAAGAAGAACGUGUGUGACAGUAACUGGUCAUGCAGUGACGGUAUUCAAUCAGAAAGUCACGGCUAACUACGUGCCAGCAGCCGCGGUAAUACGUAGGUGGCAAGCGUUGUCCGGAUUUAUUGGGCGUAAAGCGAGUGCAGGCGGUCUUUUAAGUCUGAUGUGAAAAGCCUUCG
rnacentral:rRNA from 1 species